UUCUUUGUUAACAUGAUCACAACAAAACUAUUUUCAGCAACCUUGUUUUCAUCGAUUGUUGUGUUAUCUUUAAGGACUUUCCCUUGAUAAAUAAGCAUCUGUUGUCCAGCAGCAUAAACAUCUGCCCCUUGAGUAGUUUCUAUAUUCUUUUUGACAUCAGCAAUGGUGUCUUCGGGUUUCACUUCGACGUCGAAGGUAGUGCCCUUCAGAGUUUUAACCAAAAUCUUCAUCUUCUUCUUCUUUUUCCUCUGCUAUAUGACCUCUGUGACGGCACUUUCUCGAUUUCAAUCGCCUUUAUUAAUCUCUCG
rnacentral:misc_RNA from 1 species